AUACAUGCAAGUCGAACGCUUUGUGGUUCAACUGAUUUGAAGAGCUUGCUCAGAUAUGACGAUGGACAUUGCAAAGAGUGGCGAACGGGUGAGUAACACGUGGGAAACCUACCUCUUAGCAGGGGAUAACAUUUGGAAACAGAUGCUAAUACCGUAUAACAAUGACAACCGCAUGGUUGUUAUUUAAAAGAUGGUUCUGCUAUCACUAAGAGAUGGUCCCGCGGUGCAUUAGCUAGUUGGUAAGGUAAUGGCUUACCAAGGCGAUGAUGCAUAGCCGAGUUGAGAGACUGAUCGGCCACAAUGGGACUGAGACACGGCCCAUACUCCUACGGGAGGCAGCAGUAGGGAAUCUUCCACAAUGGGCGAAAGCCUGAUGGAGCAACGCCGCGUGUGUGAUGAAGGGUUUCGGCUCGUAAAACACUGUUGUAAGAGAAGAAUGACAUUGAGAGUAACUGUUCAAUGUGUGACGGUAUCUUACCAGAAAGGAACGGCUAAAUACGUGCCAGCAGCCGCGGUAAUACGUAUGUUCCAAGCGUUAUCCGGAUUUAUUGGGCGUAAAGCGAGCGCAGACGGUUAUUUAAGUCUGAAGUGAAAGCCCUCAGCUCAACUGAGGAAUUGCUUUGGAAACUGGAUGACUUGAGUGCAGUAGAGGAAAGUGGAACUCCAUGUGUAGCGGUGAAAUGCGUAGAUAUAUGGAAGAACACCAGUGGCGAAGGCGGCUUUCUGGACUGUAACUGACGUUGAGGCUCGAAAGUGUGGGUAGCAAACAGGAUUAGAUACCCUGGUAGUCCACACCGUAAACGAUGAGUGCUAGGUGUUUGAGGGUUUCCGCCCUUAAGUGCCGCAGCUAACGCAUUAAGCACUCCGCCUGGGGAGUACGACCGCAAGGUUGAAACUCAAAGGAAUUGACGGGGACCCGCACAAGCGGUGGAGCAUGUGGUUUAAUUCGAAGCAACGCGAAGAACCUUACCAGGUCUUGACAUCCCUUGACAACUCCAGAGAUGGAGCGUUCCCUUCGGGGACAAGGUGACAGGUGGUGCAUGGUUGUCGUCAGCUCGUGUCGUGAGAUGUUGGGUUAAGUCCCGCAACGAGCGCAACCCUUAUUACUAGUUGCCAGCAUUCAGUUGGGCACUCUAGUGAGACUGCCGGUGACAAACCGGAGGAAGGUGGGGAUGACGUCAAAUCAUCAUGCCCCUUAUGACCUGGGCUACACACGUGCUACAAUGGCGUAUACAACGAGUUGCCAACCCGCGAGGGUGAGCUAAUCUCUUAAAGUACGUCUCAGUUCGGAUUGUAGGCUGCAACUCGCCUACAUGAAGUCGGAAUCGCUAGUAAUCGCGGAUCAGCACGCCGCGGUGAAUACGUUCCCGGGUCUUGUACACACCGCCCGUCACACCAUGAGAGUUUGUAACACCCAAAGCCGGUGGGGUAACCUUCGGGAGCCAGCC
rnacentral:rRNA from 1 species